CCUGCUUUUCUUUGCACACAGGCAAGACUGGUAAAAAGGAGUCCUCAGUAUCACACAAUAAGGAACAGUCGACCAUGCAGCCGUGCCAGUAUUGCGAGGUGUGACCCCGACUUACCUCCUGUUCUGUGCCGCCCCUACGCCCUAUCCCUUUGCCCAGAUACCGAGUUUAUCAGCGUUGAUAUCUAGAAGAGAAGAAAUAGGCGAUAAAGAUGGUAAAUGGCGACUGGAGAAGAUGGAGAAUACAAAGAGAAUGAGAGUAGAUGUGGAUAACAGUUUAUGGGAGUCGUGUUUACUAUUUUUUUUCUCGAGUUACCAAGUUGUGCAUCUUUCUGUGAUAUUUUGGAUGUUUCGUGUAUUUUUUUAUUUAUUGUGAUGUUAUUUUGUGUUUUCUCUCACUUUACCUUGAAGAUAGUUUUUAUAAAAGAGUAAUACAUAGAAAAAGGCUUUAAUAAAGUUAUACGUUAUU